AUUGAACGCUAGCGGGAUGCUUUACACAUGCAAGUCGAACGAGUGGCGGACGGGUGAGUAAUAUAUCGGAACGUGCCCAGUAGCGGGGGAUAACUACUCGAAAGAGUGGCUAAUACCGCAUACUAUUGUAUCGGCCGAUAUCGGCUUCGCUAGUUGGUGGGGUAAAGGCUAACCAAGGCAACGAUCCGUAGCUGGUUUGAGAGGACGACCAGCCACACUUGGACUGAGACACGGCCCAGACUCAUACGUGAGGCAGCAGGGGGGAAUUUUGGACAAUGGGGGAAACCCUGAUCCAGCCAUCCCGCGUGUAUGAGAAGGCCUUCGGGUUGUAAAGUACUUUUGGCAGAGAAGCGGUAUCUGCAGAAGAAGCACCGGCUAACUACGUGCCAGCAGCCGCGGUAAUAC
rnacentral:rRNA from 1 species